UUGGGAUUCAUCCCGAAGUGAGUCUCGCUCCAGUUUUCGGGCAUUAAGGACAUCUUCCACAUUGGUGUUUCGGAACAGAACUACAGUGAACUUCCAAGCUUCCUCACAGGCUGUGUUAAAGUUUUCCCAUUUAUAAGCCAAUCUUGCCAGAAGAGGCUCUGGAACUCAAAUGGGUUACUGCCAGAAGAAUCUGGGACAGCUGCACUAGUGUUAUAUUUCAACCAUGUACCCAAUCUAUGAACUGCUUCCACCAAAUGGUCACUCUGUCACCCAAGCUGGAGUGCAGUGGCACAAUCACGGCUCACUGCAGCCACAGCCUCCUAGGCUCAAGUGAUCCUCCCACUUCAGACUUCUGAGUAGCUGGGACUACAGCUCUGAUCUCUCUCAUACCCUCCUUCCCACCACCAAUGAUUACUGUAAAUACUGUAAUGGAUCAAGCACGACG